rnacentral:rRNA from 1 species
AGUGAAGCGGCAACAGCUCAAAUUUGAAAUCUGGCCCCGUCGGGGUCCGAGUUGUAAUUUGUAGAGAGUGUUUCGGGUGAGGCCACGGUCUAAGUCCAUUGGAACAUGGCGUCACAGAGGGUGAGAAUCCCGUAUGUGACUGUGGUCCGAGCCCAUGUGAAGCCUCUUCGACGAGUCGAGUUGUUUGGGAAUGCAGCUCAAAAUGGGUGGUAAAUUUCAUCUAAAGCUAAAUACUGGCUGGAGACCGAUAGCGCACAAGUAGAGUGAUCGAAAGAUGAAAAGCACUUUGGAAAGAGAGUCAAAAAGUACGUGAAAUUGUUGAAAGGGAAGCGCUUGCAACCAGACCUGUCCGUAGGCGAUCAGCCGCUGUUCUCAGCGGUGCACUCGCUCUGCGAUCAGGCCAGCAUCGGUUUCGGCGGUCGGAUAAAGGCCCUGGGAAUGUAGCUUCUUUCGGGGAGUGUUAUAGCCCUCGGUGCAAUGCGGCCAGCCGAGACCGAGGACCACGCGUAUGCUAGGAUGCUGGCGUAAUGGUUGUCAGCGACCCGUCUUGAAACACGGACCAAGGAGUCUAACAUCUAUGCGAGUGUUUGGGUGUCAAACCCAUACGCGGAAUGAAAGUGAACGGAGGUGAGAACCCAUUAGGGCGCAUCAUCGACCGAUCCAGAUGUCUUCGGAUGGAUUUGAGUAUGAGCAUAGCUGAUGGUACCCG